rnacentral:rRNA from 1 species
UGGGGAAUAUUGCACAAUGGGCGCAAGCCUGAUGCAGCCAUGCCGCGUGUAUGAAGAAGGCCUUCGGGUUGUAAAGUACUUUCAGCGGGGAGGAAGGUGUUGUGGUUAAUAACCGCAGCAAUUGACGUUACCCGCAGAAGAAGCACCGGCUAAAUCCGUGCCAGCAGCCGCGGUAAUACGAAGGGCGAACGCGUUAAUCGGAAUUACUGGGCGUAAAGCGCACGCAGGCGGUCUGUCAAGUCGGAUGUGAAAUCCCCGGGCUCAACCUGGGAACUGCAUUCGAAACUGGCAGGCUAGAGUCUUGUAGAGGGGGGUAGAAUUCCAGGUGUAGCGGUGAAAUGCGUAGAGAUCUGGAGGAAUUCCGGUGGCGAAGGCGGCCCCCUGGACAAAGACUGACGCUCAGGUGCGAAAGCGUGGGGAGCAAACA